rnacentral:rRNA from 1 species
GACGUAGGGCGCGAGCGUUGUCCGGAUUUAUUGGGCGUAAAGAGCUCGUAGGCGGCUUGUCGCGUCGACUGUGAAAACCCGCGGCUUAACUGCGGGACUGCAGUCGAUACGGGCAGGCUAGAGUUCGGUAGGGGAGGACUGGAAUUCCUGGUGUAGCGGUGAAAUGCGCAGAUAUCAGGAGGAACACCGGUGGCGAAGGCGGGUCUCUGGGCCGACACUGACGCUGAGGAGCGAAAGCGUGGGGAGCGAACAGG